ACCCGUCUUGAAACACGGACCAAGGAGUCUAACAUGCGCGCGAGUCGUUGGGUCGGACACGCUCCGCUAAACCCAUAGGCGCAAUGAAAGUGAAGGUUUCCCUUGUGGGACCGAGGGAGGACGGAGGUGUGAUUAGCC
rnacentral:rRNA from 1 species